rnacentral:rRNA from 1 species
AACGAACGCUGGCGGCAUGCCUAACACAUGCAAGUCGAACGAGACCUUCGGGUCGCGUGGCGCACGGGUGCGUAACGCGUGGGAACCUGCCCUUAGGUUCUGAAUAACUCCCCGAAAUGGGUGCUAAUACCUGAUGAUGUCUUCGGACCAAAGAUUUAUCGCCUUUGGAUUGGCCCGCGUUGGAUUAGCUAGUUGGUAGAGUAAAAGCCUACCAAGUCGACGAUCCAAAGCUGGGCUGCGAGGAUGAUCAGCAACACGGGGACUGAGACACGGCCAAGACUCCGACGGGAAGCAGCGGUGGGGAAUAGUGGACGAUGGGAGAAAGGAUGAUCCAGCAAUGCGGGGUGAGAGAUGAAGGCCUUAGGGUAGUAAAGCUUUUUUAGCCGGGAUGAUAAUGACAGUACCGGGAGAAGAAGCUACGGCUAACUACGUG